rnacentral:rRNA from 1 species
ACAAAAGACGUGGUGGUAGCCGCGGUAAUUCGUUUUGCGCUAGCGUUAGCCUGAAGUAUUGGGCAUAAAGGGCAUCGUGGCGGCCAAUCAAGUCAGGGGUGAAAACUUACGGCUCAACCGUGAGCCUGCCCUUGAAACUGAGGGGCUGGAGUGCCGGAGAGGUGGGCGGAACUACACGAGUAGAGGUGAAAUUCGUAGAUAUGUGUAGGAAUGCCGAUGAUGAAGAUAGCUCACUGGACGGCAACUGACGCUGAAGUGCGAAAGCUAGGGGAGCAAACAGGAUUAGAUACCCCAGUAGUC